AGGAACACCAGUGGCGAGGGCGACCACCUGAACUUAUACUGACACUGAGGUGCGAAAGCGUGGGGAGCAAACAGAAUAGAUACCCUGGUAGUCCACGCCGUAAACGAUGUCAACUAGCCGUUGGAAUCCUUGAGAUUUAGUGGCGCAGCUAACGCAUUAGUUGACCGCCUGGGGAGUACGCCCGCAAGGUUAAAACUCAAAUGAAUUGACGGGGGCCCGCACAAGCGGUGAGCAUGUGGUUUAAUUCGAAGCAACGCGAAGAACCUUACCUGGCCCUGACAUGCUGGGACUUCCCGAGAUGGAUUGGUGCCUUCGGGAACUCAGACACAGGUGCUGCAUGGCUGUCGUCAGCUCGUGUCGUGAGAUGUUGGGUUAAGUCCCGUAACGAGCGCAACCCUUGUCCUUAGUUACCAGCACCUCGGGUGGGCACUCUAAGGAGACUGCCGGUGACAAACCGGAGGAGGGUGGGAAUAACGUCAAGUCAUCAUGGCCCUUACGGCCCAGGGCUACACACGUGCUACAAUGGUCGGUACAAAGGGUUGCCAAGCCGCGAGGUGGAGCUAAUCCCAUAAACCGAUCGUAGUCCGGAUCGCAGUCUGCACUCGACUGCGUGAAGUCGGAAUCGCUAGUAAUCGUGAAUCAGACAGUCACGGUGCAUACGUUCCCGGGCCUUGUACACAC
rnacentral:rRNA from 1 species